CCCACUGAGCCAUCUCACCAGCCCAAGAUCCGGUUUUUUAAAAAACAAAACUGGGGCUGGAGAGAUGGCUCAGUGGU
rfam:Mus musculus chromosome 4, GRC primary reference assembly.